rnacentral:lncRNA from 1 species
GAGGCCAUGAGGGGGGUGUGGCAGCCCAGGGUGGGAGUGAAGAGAGAAGACCAGGCUUGAGAAAUCAGCCGUAAGGAAAGGAUCAGUAAGGAAAGAUUUGGCUGCAGGGAACAAAGUCCUGACUGGCGCUGGCUGAAACAAUGAGAUAACUGUAGAUUGCACAUCCCCAGAGUUGGGCAGACCUCUGGUCAUGACACAGUCCACAGCUCCAGGAGGGUCUUGUGGCCCCAGGGUUCCUCUCUCUCUACUCUGCCACUCUCAGCUGAAGGCUUGGCUCCCACACGGGCUCCCCUCACAGCCCCAAAGUGGCUGCCACAGGUCCGGGCAUCACAACCAGCCAUAAUUUCUAGUGCAAGAAGACAGGGGCAUCUCUUCCUGUGUCUCUUUGGAAACAAGGAAACCUUUUCCCAAAGCCUCCCCAGCAGACUUCUCUUCCAUCUCGUUGGCCAAAAUUGGCUCACAUGCCCGAACCAAUCAUUGGCUAGAGUGAUGGAGCCACCAUGAUUAGCUUGGAUUCCUCAAAAUUCUCCCUGCCCCUGGGACUGAGGUUUCGGUUUGGAGGCUAGUGAAUACUUGAGCAAAACUGGGCUUCUAUUAGAAAGGCAGAAGGUCGGGAGAAUGCUAAAAAGUCACACAAGAUUGUUUUAAUGCCAAUGGUGGGAAACACAUGGGAUUUACCAGGUGCCAGGCACUGUUCCAAGCCCUUGAUACAUAAUAAUUUAUUUUUUUAAAAUCUUUUUAUUUUAUUUUACUUUUUUUCCUUUUUCUCCCCAAAGCCCCCGGGUACAUAGUUGUAUAUUUUAGUUGUGAGUCCUUCUAGCUGUGGCAUGUGGGAUGCUGCCUCAGUGUGGUUUGAUGAGCAGUGCCAUGUCCGCGCCCAGGACUCGAACCAAUGAAACACUGGGCCGCCUGCAGCGGAGUGCGUGAACUCAACCACUCGGCCACGGGGCUGGCCCCCAUAAUAAUUAAUUUAACCCUCUCAGCAACUCCGAGUUACGUACAUUCUCUACAUUACAGAAAAAGAACCCAGGCCCUGUUCAGUUCAAGACCUUAAGAAAAAAAUGUGCGUGCUACAAAAUUGACAAAGUACGAAAGAGCGGAGAGUGGAGAGUCAGCAUUUCUCUCGCACGCAGGCUGUGGUCACUGAGGUCUCCUUCCAGCCGUGGAGCAGCACUGUAUGUGUGUGUGUGUGUGUGUGUGUGUGUUUCACUUUUUCCUUUCCCUCUACACAAGUGGUACCUAGUAUGGUGAGGUGCUCAGUUACAGACUCUGGAGGCAAAGUUCCUGCUGUAAAUCUCAACUCUGUGCCUCCCCAGCUCUGUGGCUCUGGGCAAGUGGGUUCACCUCCCUGGACCUCAGUUUGCUCAUCCAUGAAAUGGGAUGAUAACAGCACCUACCUCGUGGGCUUGUUAGAGAAUUAAGCAACUUAAUAUCUGGAAAGCUCUUCGAACAGUGUCUGGGCCUCAAUAAACUGGUAGCUAAUGACUAUUA